UGGGCACUUAUAUAUGAAGACAAAAAGCAAACCUCACCCCAUUAAUUGUCUCUCUCCAACGCCAGCCAGGUGUUAGCGUUUCGAGGAGGAGAAGACAUCAAAGCACUUCUCCUUCAAUCAAUUUUACAGAUUUGUAGCCCUAGAUCAAUCCGUAGGGCUCUGAUUGGGUUCUUUCGGAUCGGAGGAUAAGCGAACCGGAUCAACGAUGUUCUUGGUAGAUUGGUUCUAUGGAAUUCUCGCAACCCUCGGUUUAUGGCAGAAGGAGGCGAAGAUCUUGUUUUUGGGUCUCGAUAAUGCCGGAAAGACCACCUUGCUCCAUAUGUUGAAAGAUGAGAGAUUGGUUCAACAUCAGCCAACACAAUACCCAACGUCAGAGGAGCUUAGUAUUGGAAAGAUCAAGUUCAAAGCAUUUGACUUGGGUGGUCAUCAG
rnacentral:misc_RNA from 1 species